GUUGUUUCUCCGGUCGCAGUCGUACUUCGGACAUUCUACUCAACACACGCAACUAACUCUAAAAACCCUAAGCAGACCGCGUCAAGUAUUUAUUUGUGUUAACUGAACAAUCGAAAAUUGUGCAGAAAACGGCAAAAAGCAAACAGCAGAGACAAAGAGAAAGACAGACAGUCAGAGAGAGAGAGAGAGAGAGAGAGAGAGAGAGUGAAAGAGAGAAGACCUUAAAAAGUGCACACAUACUCACUAACAAAUAUGUAUGUGUAAAAUCAACAGGUUUCUUCUUUUCUUCUGCUCUGCCUGCCAUCAAACAAUCUUUUGCUUCGCAUUCAUCUGUUUAUCUCUACAAUACUCGUAUCUAUAUAUCUAUCUCUGCAUUUGUUUAUUCCUAUGUGCUUGCGAUGCAUAUUCUAUUGUACAUCGGAAUGAAAAUAUAACUUCAAAUU